UGCCAGCCGCCGCGGUAAUACGUAGGGUGCAAGCGUUGUCCGGAUUUAUUGGGCGUAAAGAGCUCGUAGGCGGUUAGUCACGUCGGAUGUGAAAACCCAGUGCUUAACACUGGGCCUGCAUUCGAUACGGGCUGACUAGAGUGUUGUAGGGGAGACUGGAACUCCUGGUGUAGCGGUGAAAUGCGCAGAUAUCAGGAAGAACACCGGUGGCGAAGGCGGGUCUCUGGGCAACUACUGACGCUGAGGAGCGAAAGCGUGGGGAGCAAACAGGAUUAGAUA
rnacentral:rRNA from 1 species